GAAUAAUCGUAUUUGUCGUUUAAAUUCGGUGACGUCAGUCGAGUUUAAAUUUUUAAAUUCCAUCGAUCUGAUUCGUCGCUUCGUUUAUGGUAAUUAAACCGUUAUUUAAUUAAUUCCGUUUUAUGUUAUUAAAUUUAUUCGAAAUUCGGGGUUACGAGGUUAAGAAAUUCGGGAAGACGAAAUCGUGUAAGCGUGAAUUCACGCCCGAAGUGGUUCCCUUUGUGUUUAACCUCGAGAAUUCCCGAUUUAUAACAAGUUAUUACGAAUCAAUGUCGAUCUCGAAAGUCUUCUUGUUAUUGCUAUCAUCGAAUUAACCGAAUUUUUCAGUGUGUUACUCGCUAGGCCAGCUUCCUUAUCAAUUAAACUACCGAACCAAAUAAUCGAUAAUGCAAGAAGUUGAGCCAAAGUUUUCAAAUAUCUUGCCAAAGUAAAGAAGGGAAUAAAGGAAGAAAGAAAGGGGAAAAAAACAAAAUGCCUUCUACAAAGGGGCGAUGUGCCAAAUACAGAUUUGUUUCUUGAAGUUCUCGUCGCCAAAAGAAAAGUUUUCAACUACAACUGAAGGAACGAGGACAUUGACUUUACAUCAGUUUGGAACUCGUUAAUAAAUAACGAAGAAAUCCAUUAAUUUAUCUUUAGUAACUGUUUCGUAACGGAAAUGAUAUUAAAUUUAAUUUAACUUUACUCUUUAUGAACUUGUAAUCGAGAAAACUCGUAGAGGAAAAAAAAAUCAAAAAUCAUUGGCUGGAAAUAAAGAAAUAAAUAUGUUUUAAAAUCUAUUCGUACGAGUUUGUAAUUUUGUUUAUUGUUUUGUGUGGGUGUGUACGUGUAGAAGAAUGUAAAUUAAAGGAUAAAUUUGAUAAAAAAUCUGUAUUUAGUGAAGAAGAAGAAGAAGAAGAAGAAGGGAAAGUUUUUCUGAUGAUAAAGGAGAUGCUCUUUCUGUUUUGGAUCGUUGUUUUUUUUUAUAAAUAACCGAAUUGUCGGUUAUAUUCAUGAAUUGGAGAAGUAAAGAAACCAAGAUAGCGGUCGAUUUGAUAAUAAUAUAUUUUACAUGCAUCUGCAAUCGAAAACAGCAACCGAAACGAAGUGUGAAAUCUUUGUCUUCUCUAAGGAACUAAAGGGGAAGAAACUAUCAAAUUUUGUAAACCCAUCGG
rnacentral:lncRNA from 1 species